GGGGGCAUAGCUCAGCUGGGAGAGCGCUUGAAUGGCAUUCAAGAGGUCGGGGGUUCAAGUCCCCUUGUCUCCACCA
rnacentral:tRNA from 1 species